rnacentral:rRNA from 1 species
GAUGAACGCUGGCGGCGUUCCUAAUACAUGCAAGUCGAGCGAACAGACGAGGAGCUUGCUCCUCUGACGUUAGCGGCGGACGGGUGAGUAACACGUGGAUAACCUACCUAUAAGACUGGGAUAACUUCGGGAAACCGGAGCUAAUACCGGAUAAUAUAUUGAACCGCAUGGUUCAAUAGUGAAAGACGGUUUUGCUGUCACUUAUAGAUGGAUCCGCGCCGCAUUAGCUAGUUGGUAAGGUAACGGCUUACCAAGGCAACGAUGCGUAGCCGACCUGAGAGGGGGGAUCGGCCCACUGGGACAUGAGCCACGGCCCAACCCCCGAGGGGGGGCAGGAGGAGGGAAUUUUCCGCAAGGGGCGAAAGCUUGACGGAGCAACGCCGGGGGGGUGAGGAAGGUUUUCGGAUCGUAAAACUCUUUUAUUAGGGAAAAAAAAAUGGGAAAGUAACGAUGCCCGUUUGGCCGGUACCAAAACAAAAAGCCCCGGCUAACUACGG